UUGGUAACCUAGGUGACGGAAGAGCUGAGGAGACAGGACAUGAGACACUGAGUUUGCCAAAAACCAAAGAGACCUGGGAAGAUGAUAUUGUUGGACCUUAGAAACUGGCUCACUCUGUGUAUCUAGAACUACAUGGGGGAUUGCAAGGCUCCCAGAACAGUGGGCAGGUGCAGGCGGAGUUAGAGAUGCCCACUGUAGUGUAAUGAGACAAGAGCCUGGUUUCUCCUUGCUUUCCAACCUCCUCCCAAUAUCUCCCGUGAAACAAAGCCAAGUAGAAGCCACCAUUUCUGAGGUGCAGAACAGAGACAGAAGGUAGAAAAAGGCCCUGAAACAAAGUCCAAAGGAGGACAAAUCCCAGGUACUGUUGGAAGAGUUUUAGGUCAGCUAGUCACAGUAAGGAAGCUUCUGGAAGACUUCAGGACCACCCCCUGAGGGGAAUCGGUAGAUGUUACUUCAUGGAGGGCAGCUGAGGUACAGAGAUCAUGAACCUGUGUGGUAGUAAGAAGCCUCCUGAUAAUUAACACCAUUUUGUUUGUCUGACUCUGCCAUCACUGAGCUGAUGUCAGUAUCACAGAUGAAGCUUUAAGAAACACCACAUGAUCAGCCUCACGGUGUUUUACUGCACUAUCAAUCAAGAGUUCUAUUUACAGAACAGCUUGAGUGAGUGAUGCCGUGACUUCGUAAAGCAUCGCCGACAGAUCCAAAGGAUACAGUCUGAAACUGCCAGACACAUGGAGAAGUGGGAAAAUUGACUUCAAGCAAGCAAGAAGUCAAUAGGAAAUGGCCUCAGAAUGACCAAGAUGUUCAUCAAACAAGGUUUUCAAUAUAGCUACUGUAAUUAUUGCUCACACAGAGGAAAAUACACUUCAAAUGAAUAGAUAUAAAGGAAAUCUCAUCAGAGAAUCAUGAACCAUUAAAAAAAAAGCCCAAAGGAAUAGUGUCAGUAAAGAUACAAUACCUAAAAAUUAAAAAUUUACUGCAUGUUUUGGCAGCAUACUAGAUUUGAUAGAGGCGUCAGCGAUGAAACAGUGCAGGACAAAGACAUAACAAUUUCAGGAGAAACUUUCAUAAAACCAUAUGAAACCAUGGUGGACACCAAUGCCUGGAAUAUAGUUGUAAUUUGAGUCUCAUAAAGAAAAGAGAACAAUGAGAGGAAAAGCUGUUUGAAGUAGACAGGAUGUAACAAGGAAAUCUAGAAAAUAGCUAGGGAAAGACACUUAGUAGGCAAAGGAAAAAAAAUUUGGGAUAGUCACUGAUUUCUCAUAAGAAACAUGGGAGACCAGAAGGAAAUGAAGUAACUUCUUUAAAGUUUUGAAAGAAGGAACAACUGUCAACCUCAAAUUCUAUAUUUAUUAAAUUUGUUCCAUAUAAAUAAGGGCAAAGAAAAACAUUUUCAAACUAAAAACAAUCAAGAGAAUUUGUCAACAGCAACAAUUCACUAGAGACACUAAUGAAGAUCUUCUGAUGGAAAGUAAGUCAGACCAGAUGGGAACUUCUAUUUUGGGGAAGGAAUGAAAGGCAUUAGAGACAGCAAAUGCACAGGACAGAAGCACAGACUGUUCUGCAGGUGCCUGAGUUCUACACAUAUCCCAUCAGAGUCCCUUGGCUGUGGACAGCGGUAAGGUCAGCUGGGAAGUCUGAGCAUCUUGUGUACCAGAAAAGGGAAAGGACAUAUUUGGAUGGACAACUGCAUAUUUGUAUUAUUGGUUAAAAUAAGCAUUAGAAAAGAGCAAAUCAAACUUCCUUAGCAAUUGCUGGUUAGAAAAUUUAGUGGAAAGGUAUCUUUUAACUAAUGGAUCUAAAAACUUCUGGAAAAAAAUUUAACCAGAAAUGUCCAGUAUCUACCUAAAUGGAAUAAAAAAUGUUAAAAAAUGUAAAAGUUGAUAAAUUAGAAGAAAGGCAAACUUUUUGGACGGAGAAACUGAGUAUAAAAUACCUUCCAGUACCAUCCCAAAUAGCUGCCUGAGACCUCAAUUUAUUGACUCUAAUGGAGAUGGGAGAGGGAACGAUGAGACCGAUAGUGACAUGAUGUGUGGCUUCGCCGAGGUCAUGGGCUUGGUUAAUUCCUUUCCAGGGGGACCGAAGAGAGAAGGAGAGCGGGAAGGCUGUUCCCAGGAAGACUCCCUGAACUCCAGCCUGAAGUUCAUCCCCUAGGAGGAGUGAAGGACAAAAGACACAGUGGACAUGGGCCAGCUCUCCGUCAUGGAGCUUCUGAGAAGCUGUCAUGUACAUCACUACAUUUUUGUUUUGUUUUGUUAAUUAGCUGAAUUUCAUUUCAUUAUUAUAAUGAAUAGGAGAAAAAUCAAUGUGGAAAUAUUGGACAUGUGCAUCCGAGGAAGACCUGUUUUCUGAUUGGCUUUGAGCACAGGAUUCAAAUGUAUAAACAUUAACAUAGUGAUGUUAAGCAAA